rnacentral:tRNA from 1 species
GCCUGGCUGGCUCAGUCGGUAGAGCAUGUGACUCUUGAUCUCAGGGUCGUGAGUUCGAGCCCCAUGUUGGGCA